GGUACUGUAUUCCGGCAAAUAUUAUCUAUUAUGAAAAUUUUUGUUCAGUGGCAAACCAUUCCUUAGUGCUAUAUUAUGGUUUCCUUGGAAAGUGCAAACCAGUUCAGGAAAUCAUGUUAGUAAAUUUGCAUACCUCAUUGAUUUCUUCAAGGAUGUUAUUUAUGCAGUCCCUUCUUUUCUACUGAUCGCAGAAUGAAUGAUUUUGAAGUGAGGAAGGCAGCAGACAGGGAGAAAAGUGAUAAUAACUCUGUACUGUCUAAAUGCUUUUCUGCUAGGAGGCAACGAAAUUGGUCUUUCUAUUGAUAAAUAAGUGUUUUAUUCAAUUAUGCAUUGUGCAUAUGUAAUUAUUGAUUUUUCUAUUAAUGAAAUUAACUAUUGUACAUAAUUAUGAUUUUAUGUUUUAUUUCAAAUGCUUAUCUUAUCG
rnacentral:misc_RNA from 1 species